rnacentral:miRNA from 1 species
UUCACAUAUAUGUAUAUGUGUGUGUGUGUCUAUCUAUCUAUCUAUACACACACACACACACACACACACACACACACACA